rnacentral:ncRNA from 2 species
GUGGGUGGUGGUGCAUGGC